rnacentral:misc_RNA from 1 species
AACGCAUAUUGCGCUCUCUGGUAUUCCGGAGAGCAUGCUUGUUUGAGUAUCAGUAAACACCUCAACUCCCCUUUCUUUUUUGAAAUGGGAGCUGGACUUGAGUGAUCCCAACGCUUUUCUCACCGAAAAGUGGCGGGUUACUUGAAAUGCAGGUGCAGCUGGACUUUUCUCUGAGCUAAAAGCAUAUCUAUUUAGUCUGCCUAAAAACAGAUUAUUACCUUUGCUGCAGCUAACAUAAAGGAGAUUGGUUCUUGUGCUGACUGAUGCAGGAUUCACAGAGACAGCUUCGGCUGGCUUUGUAAACUCGAUCUCAAAUCAAGUAAGACUACCCGCUGAACUUAA